UAAAUUCUUUCAUUGUCAAAUGGCAGCCUCUGCCAUGGACAGGAUAACCUCAUCAAAAUCAUUCCCCUGCCUGCUGGCCAAUUACACACAGGUGGCCUCAAUCCACUGAGGCCAUUCAUUCCCCUCCCCCUGAUUGGCAACUGCAGUCAGGUGUGUUGCUCCAAAGACUAUAUAAGGCCCACAGCAGAGAGCAGCAGGGCUCUCUGCUGCAUCAUCCAACCCUCUGGCCAUGCGUCCCUGCGAAUAAACCAUGGUUUGGAUGCCAAUAAACCCCCUUAAACUGA